UACUUGUUAAGCUGCUUUGUCUCUGACUUCACACUAUUCUGUUAGGGUUUUAAUCUUUCCUGUAGGAUUUUAAACAAAACACAGUACAAGUGUAAGACUGCAUUCUAAUCUCCAUCUUCUCUUGCUACUUUACUCUCCAGCUCAGCCUCUCCAUGCCAGCUUUAGUAUAGAAUGACAUCAUUACUCUAGAUAGUGUCAUUUUCACUUUUAAUAUCCUCUCCCUUCCCCUAUGAUGACAAUCCCCAAGCAAUUGGUUUAACUUUCUUAACCCUUCCAGCACUAUGGAGACACACAGCAGUUACUGUGCCUUUGCAGAUGGGAGGCAGAUCUUCAGAAAAAAAACAAUGCACUCAAGAUCCACACACAGCUUGGGAGAUGGACAGACUUGAACAGGGUCCUCUUGUAAACUUGGCUUUACAGGAGGCUCUGGGUUGUACUUGCAGAGUGUCACUGGUUUUGUGAUAUGGACAAAUGUCUGUUAGACCAGCGUGACCCACUUAUGUGUGUAACCUAAUGAAUCUUGGAGUACAGACCUUUCCUCAGAGGCAAAAGGCCAAUGCACUUGCCCAUGAAGUCUUUUCUCAUUCACCUUUAAUAUUUUGAUGUUAAUGGAUCAUGCUAAAAAGGAUUAGCCAUUUCAAUUUACAUUCUGCUGCUUUCUGCAUUUAACAUUCUCACUGUAAGUGAUGAACUAUUGACUAUUUGAAUGUGAUGACAAACAGUCUGAAAGAGAAGGUCUGCUUUACCAUUUGCAAUGCUGAACUCAUACAGCACAGGUGAAGGUGUUCCUUUCUCUUUUUAGUUACCCAUCAGUGGCCUUCUUUCCUAAUUUUCACCUGCUGUCCCAGUACCCGAAGCUGGUGUACUGCACUAUGUUUAACAGCCCGAGAAGAGGCCCCAGGGUUACAUAUUGUUAAGCAUGUGAAAUUUAACCUAUAUUAUUGAUAUUGGGUUCAGACCAAAGUGUCUGCAAAGUGGCUUAAAAGGAAGAGUUCAUUAUAGAAUAAAGCACUUUGGCAGAAGGCCAGAUACACAUGCCCUUAAAAUUGUUCUUGAUUCCUCCCCUCAUAUUUAAAUGUAUGUAAUUACAGAAUCGGCCACUGUUCAGAAAUCAAGAUCUGUCAGAUCUUGAAAAUAAGUUAGAAGAGAUCUAGGAGCAAGAUGGGGUACUAUUACUUAGGACAUGAAGCACAGUCUCCUGAACAGCUGUAGCAAUGCAGUGAGGCCGAUGGAUCAGUGUUUUUCUGGGCCUGAAAUAGUUUUAUAGUAGCAAAAAGUAUACCUAUGAAAGCAAUGGUGAGUGCAGAGGCUUCGGGAAACUGUUUCUACAGACUGUAGUAAAGUUUGAGAUUUCCCCUGGAGAAAUUAAGGAUUCAUCCUUACCUUGCUCCCUUCAAAUCUCCUUCAAGUCAGCUGUCCUUGGCCACCUCAGAGCUUAGAAGUGAAUCAUGCAGCUCCAAGUCGGAAACAAGGUUUCUACCUUUGUAUGUUGGAUUUUUUUGGGAUGGAAAGGGAAUGAAGAGACCUGGCAUUGGUUUCCGGGUUACUCAUUGCAGGGAAAAGUAGAACUUCCUGAUAAAGUCCAAUUCAUACUUGUUGUGCAUGUGUAUUGUGUCUAACGUGAUAGACAGUUUUUGUAACUUUGACAUGGGUAGUAGGUCUGUGGGAUCUUUCUUCAGCUGGAGGUGGGCAGAGAGGAGGGACAACUUUUCAAGCAGACUGAGAAACCUCUAACCUCUUUUCUAUCAAGGCAUUUUUUCUUUUUUCUUUUUAAAUUCUACUUCAACAAUUGACUUGUAGUCUCUGCACUAUGAGUGACUGUCCAUAUCUGGAAAGCAGCCACCAAGCGGAAACCCAAAAACCCCAAAUCACAUGUAAGAACUGAAGUGCUUCUAUAAAAUAUGCUGUAGAAACCCCUUCAUAUAAGUGAGAGGAAGGCAUGUGUUGGUGGUGUAGACAAGGUUUUACCCUUCAAUGUAUCUAGCCAUUUGAAAACAACAUUCCCAGAGCAGUUAGUCAGAAGAUUAUGAAAUGGGUAGGUAUUUGGUGAACUCUAGACACACUCAGUCUUGUCUCAUCUCUUCUUCACAUGUGCGCAUGAGAAACACAAACUCCUGGUUAGAAGAGAAGGUGGCACCAACACAACCAUACCCCGUCAGAUGGUUGAGUGUGACCUAGCAGUUGGCACCGAACAUGGAACUUCUGGCUCCUCUUGCUGUGAUAAUUAUGAUCUGAAUCUUACAUCAGCUAUGGGGUGUGUUUUGAUUUUUUUUUUUUUUUGUAAAUUAAAAGGCACUACUUUUUAAAAGGCACUGCUAUGUAUUUACUGGUUUGGUAUGAUAUUGUGCAUCCAUGUCUUUCAUGGAUUCAUAUGCCUGGAGUGUCUUGCAUAUAAAUUCACAGCCGUGCAAUGUUAGAUGGUACUGUUAAUAAUAAUUAUGCAGAUUUGUUCAGGUCCUUUUGUAAAGCAGAACAAUACACUUAGAACUUCUGCCAUACAUUUAAGAACCUGACACAGGAAUUUAGAAAAUUGUUGACAGAGUUUGAAAUAACUGUAUUCUAUCUCUGGCAAAGUUUCUUUCAAGUUAAAGAAAUCAUGGCCAGUGAAGUCUAGUAACGUUUCAUGAAACUCGCUGCAAUCAGAUGUCCUAUGUACAACAAAAUAUAGGCGAGUAUUUGAGAAAAUGUGCUUUUAUAUUCAGAUUUCAUUAAUGUUUUUACGUAUCAUUUUGAAGUAGUGGUGCAGCACGUGAAAUCAGUGGACCUAUUCUACUAGUUACUAAAUAAAAUGAAUUCUGAAAUACUGGUAAAUGGAAGAGACAGUGAAGAACUAAUCGGAGACAUUGCUCAAAGUGUAACGUCAUGUGAGAGUGCGUAUUGAAACUGAUAAAUAGCAGGAGCUGCUCCUAUUGCUGAAUGUUUUUGUUUAGUCCCAACCAUAACAAGUAAUAGUUAAAAAUGAAGGUGAGAAUUUGAAUGCACUUUUUUUCAAGAAAAGGAAUUGGAUCUUCUGGAGUAGGGACAUUAUUAAUUUCACGAGACAUGCUGACAGAAAUGAUUCAGUUGUGCAAAUUUCCCCUUAUUUCUGGAUUUUUCUUUGUUUUGUUUGUUUGUUUUUUAAUGUAUGUUCUUUUGAAAAUUGAGGUCUUAUUUUAAGAAUUUUUACAGCUGUGAGAAAGAAAAAAUGACAGACAUUCAAAUAGUUUUGGGCCUUUCAGAUUAUGAAGCGUGAUUUCUUAACAUAUGGCUAGAGGAAGAGAGUUUGGAUGCGCUCUGGAAAAUAAUUUUCCCAAGCAAUUGCCAACUCUGCAAAAGGAUUUCCUGAACAGAGACUGAAAAGACGCUUCUGAUUCCACUCAGGGUGUUCUCUUUAAUGGAAAUGUCUAACUUGCUGCAGUAAACCUUGAAGUCCCCAUGAAAAAUUCAUGGAACAUAGAAAAAAAAAAAGCUGAGGAACUUGCAUAGUGCUGCAGGAAGAGGCUGGCACUGAGGCUAGGUGACAUGAGAAGUCCUGCGGCUCUGCCAGGUGGUGCCCUGGAAAUAGCGAGGAGUCCAAGUCCCGUCAUGCUCCUGAGCACUGCUGAACUAGGAGCAAAGUACUGCAGAAGAACCCAACCAAACCUUGUAAUUUAAUUGUCCU
rnacentral:lncRNA from 1 species